GAGGUUGGUAUUUUCAUCUUAUCUUUUACGGGGCAAUUAGUGAUAAACCAUUCUGAUGAAUUAUUUAACGCACUAUACAUGUCAUUAUGGUACGAAGCACUUAUAACAAUACAAAAAUCAUUAUUGUUUAUAAUGAUUAUCUCUAAGAAAAGCUUAAUAGUGAACCUUGGCGGUAUAUAUGUUAUAACAAUGGAAACCUUCACAUCGAUCACGAGCAAGUCAAUAUCCGUUCUGAUGGUAUUUCUUUCCAUACCAUAAGUUGAUGAUAUAAAGCAAAAAAAGUAACCAUUCAUAUUGAUGUACACAUAA
rnacentral:lncRNA from 13 species